rnacentral:piRNA from 1 species
UCAGUGGCUUCCCUGUUGUGUGUGCA